rnacentral:rRNA from 1 species
AAACGACUGCUAAUACCGCAUAAUGUCUACGGACCAAAGGGGGCUUCGGCUCUCGCCUUUAGAUUGGCCCAAGUGGGAUUAGCUAGUUGGUGAGGUAAUGGCUCACCAAGGCGACGAUCCCUAGCUGGUUUGAGAGGAUGAUCAGCCACACUGGGACUGAGACACGGCCCAGACUCCUACGGGAGGCAGCAGUGGGGAAUAUUGCACAAUGGGCGCAAGCCUGAUGCAGCCAUGCCGCGUGUGUGAAGAAGGCCUUCGGGUUGUAAAGCACUUUCAGUCAGGAGGAAAGGUUAGUAGUUAAUACCUGCUAGCUGUGACGUUACUGACAGAAGAAGCACCGGCUAACUCCGUGCCAGCAGCCGCGGUAAUACGGAGGGUGCGAGCGUUAAUCGGAAUUACUGGGCGUAAAGCGUACGCAGGCGGUUUGUUAAGCNAGAUGUGAAAGCCCCGGGCUCAACCUGGGAACUGCAUUUCGAACUGGCAAACUAGAGUGUGAUAGAGGGUGGUANAAUUUCAGGUGUANCGGUGAAAUGCGUAAANAUCUGAAGGAAUACCGAUGGCGAAGGNANCCACCUGGGU